rnacentral:rRNA from 1 species
GGUAGGCCCUUCGGGGUACACGAGUGGCGAACGGGUGAGUAACACGUGAGCAACCUGCCUCUGACUUUGGGAUAACAGUAGGAAACUGCUGCUAAUACCGGAUAUCACCCUCCUUCUGCAUGGUGGGGGGUUGAAAGCUUUUGCGGUCAGAGAUGGGCUCGCGGCCUAUCAGCUUGUUGGUGAGGUAAUGGCUCACCAAGGCUUCGACGGGUAGCCGGCCUGAGAGGGCGACCGGCCACACUGGGACUGAGAUACGGCCCAGACUCCUACGGGAGGCAGCAGUGGGGAAUAUUGCACAAUGGGCGGAAGCCUGAUGCAGCAACGCCGCGUGCGGGAUGACGGCCUUCGGGUUGUAAACCGCUUUCACUCAUGACGAAGCGCAAGUGACGGUAGUGAGAGAAGAAGCACCGGCCAACUACGUGCCAGCAGCCGCGGUGAUACGUAGGGUGCGAGCGUUGUCCGGAAUUAUUGGGCGUAAAGAGCUCGUAGGCGGUCUGUCACGUCGGAAGUGAAAACUCAGGGCUCAAACCCUGUAGCCCUGCUUCCGAUACGGGCAGACUUGAGGAAGGUAGGGGAGACCGGAAUUCCUGGUGGAGCGGUGGAAUGCUCAGAUAUCAGGAGGAACACCGGUGGCGAAGGCGGUUCUCUGGACCUUUCCUGACGCU